GAUAUCUAUGCAGUGUUGCAAUGUAGCCAGAAUGCCUUCACUGGAGCCAAGCUGAAACUGGUGUCAGGAUCUUGAAUCUCGAGAACUGUGGGUUAAAUAAGCCUUUUUCUUUGCAAACCGGCAGGGAAUACAUUGCGGUGGGGUCACCUGAGGGAAUUGUCAAGGAAACUACCCUGGAGAGAAGGGGUGAGAAGACAUAGUUGAGGACACUGGCAGGGACCAGCAGUCCAGGCCAGGUGUCCCAGCAGGGAAAGAGCAGAGCCAGCCUCAUCUUUUCAGGCAGCUCCUGCAUGGGCCACAAGGCACAAGUCCUCAAGGACUUGGUGGCUUCUCUGAGGAAACAUUUUGUUCAGAAGAGGCUGUCUGAAUUGAAAUGACGGAACUGGCAGGAGUAUACUGGAGCAGCACUGACUGGGGUGGCCAGCCCAGCAGCUGGAGAGCUCCGUUUGCAAGAAAACAGGUUAUGAUAAAUCCUUGACUUGAGU